rnacentral:lncRNA from 1 species
GCUGCUCCGCAGAAGGAUCGUGGGAGGUGGGGAGCAGGCAAGAGCCCAGGCAAGACCAGCAGCACGGACUUCCAGCAAGGUGCAGCCUCUGUGUAUCGGGGAGACUCUGCCCAGAAUGGGGAAACUGAGGCUCUGAGAAAGCUGCCACGGGCCUGCCCUAUGCUAUCGGAGCACACUCAGACUGGGCAGUCAAGAGUUGCACAGAGACACCUCCUGGGGUCAGACUUGACACAGAAAAGAAAGAAAGAACUCCUUGGAAAUGAAGGUGUUGGAAGCAGGCUUCUGAGAGAUGACUAGGAGUUUUCAAGGAGGAAAGGGUCUGAAAUCUGGCCUUUCAGACCAGAGAAGAGAAAGCUUGUGAGUUCCACACAAGGUUGUACCCAUUUAAAAAUUAAAUUAAACUAAUUACAUUUU